rnacentral:misc_RNA from 1 species
GUGAAUCAUCAAAUUUUUGAACGCACAUUGCACUCUCUGGUAUUCCGGAGAGUAUGCCUGUUUGAGGGUCAGUUUAAAUAAAAACCGGCGUGGUUGCUGCCUUUCGUGGUGACGCGCUGGAUGUGGGUCGUCUUGCUUUCGGUCAAGUGACCUAAAAUUUUGCAUGAUUUUUUCGAACGUAUUUAAAUUAUUUUACGUACGUCUGCGUUAUCGAAUACUCUGUGCCAACUUCCUGAUGCUUCUC